AACGCACCUUGCGCCCUUUGGUAUUCCGAAGGGCAUGCCUGUUUGAGUGUCAUUAAAUUCUCAACUUCAGAACAUUUAUUGUUUCUUGAAGCUUGGACUUUGGAGGCCUUGCCGGCAGAAAUAUUGUCAGCUCCUCUUAAAUGUAUUAGCAGAACCUUCUUGUAAAAGGGACUGGCUUCAGUUUGAUAAACCUAUCUAUGCUGUUGCCAAUUAACCUUCUGUGUUCAGCUUCUAAUGGUCUUUAUAGACUGUCUCUAUUGAGGCAUACACUUUAAGCUUGACCUCAAAUCAGGUAGGACUACCCGCUGAACUUAA
rnacentral:misc_RNA from 1 species